AUUGAACGCUGGCGGCAGGCUUAACACAUGCAAGUCGAGCGGGGUGAUGGUGCUUGCACUAUCACUUAGCGGCGGACGGGUGAGUAAUGCUUAGGAGUCUGCCUAUUAGUGGGGGACAACAUCUCGAAAGGGAUGCUACUACCUCAUACGUCCUACGGGCGAAAGCAGGGGAUCCCUUGUGACCUUGCGCUAACAGAUGAGCCUAGGUCGGAUUAGCUAGUUGGUGGGGUAAAGGCCUACCAAGGCGACGAUCUGUAGCGGGUCUGAGAGGAUGAUCCGCCACACUGGGACUGGGACACGGCCCAGAAUCCUACGGGAGGCAGCAGUGGGGAAUAUUGGACAAUGGGGGGAACCCUGAUCCAGCCAUGCCGGGUGUGUGAAGAAGGCCUUAUGGUUGUAAAGCACUUUAAGCGAGGAGGAGGCUCUUUUGGUUAAUACCCAAGAUGAGUGGACGUUACUCGCAGAAUAAGCACCGGCUAACUCUGUGCCAGCAGCCGCAGUAA
rnacentral:rRNA from 1 species